AUAAUGUUUAUAAUAUAUGUUGGAAGCCACCCAGAGUGGCUGGGGCAACCCAGUCAGAUGGGUGGGGCAUAAUAAUAGUAUAAUAAUAAUAAUAAUAAUAAUAAUAAUAAUAAUAAUUUAUUUAUACCCCCCGUCCAUCUGGUGGCUGGGUUUCCCCAGCCACUCUGGGCGGCUUCCAACAGAAUAUUAAAAUACAGUA
rnacentral:miRNA from 1 species